AGGUUAGGUUAUCCUCCCAUCUUUGGCACUACACCGAACUAUGUCUGAAAGUUGUGGCAUCUAGGUCGGGGUGUCUCCAAGGGGUUGACUUCGUCAAUCUAGUUACUGGCAUUUGCACAAGCGUUCGAAUGUAUCUUGUCCUAUUUGGGGAUGCGUCGGACACCUUCCCCUUGUUCCUUUCAGGGGUCUUAGCUAGAACCAGAU
rnacentral:lncRNA from 1 species